ACCCUCCAGAUUCUUGAGUCAUCGGACCUGCACACUGGUCUCAGUGGUUAUUCAAGGAGGGAAAGUAAAAUGGAAACCGACUUAAGUUUUUGAUGGCACACGAGCUAGUUUAAAGCCAAC
rnacentral:snoRNA from 1 species